CCGUGAAAGCAGCAUACAAGCCGGAGAGCCUACUGGAAGCAAGAAGGGAAAACCCAGCCGGGUAUGGGGGCUGCGGGGAGGAUGCCAGGUGGCGGAGACUGGAUUCAGGAUUUGAUGCUUGAACUGAACCUUCUAUUAAGAGGCUUUGCCAGAAUCUCUUCCCACAACUUCCCGUGCACACCGUCCUCUUCUUUGGCAAAUACACAGCAUGUCAUUUUCUGGAUGAGUAGCAGACACAAAGCAUACUGCAGUAAAUGAUGUUAUGC
rnacentral:lncRNA from 1 species